rnacentral:rRNA from 1 species
GACGAACGCUGGCGGCGUGCCUAAUACAUGCAAGUCGAGCGGACCAAAGGGAGCUUGCUCCUGGAGGUUAGCGGCGAACGGGUGAGUAACACGUGGGCAACCUGCCUGUAAGACUGGGAUAACAUCGAGAAAUCGGUGCUAAUACCGGAUAAUAAAAAGAACUGCAUGGUUCUUUUUGAAAGAUGGUUUCGGCUAUCACUUACAGAUGGGCCCGCGGCGCAUUAGCUAGUUGGUGAGGUAACGGCUCACCAAGGCAACGAUGCGUAGCCGACCUGAGAGGGUGAUCGGCCACACUGGGACUGAGACACGGCCCAGACUCCUACGGGAGGCAGCAGUAGGGAAUCUUCCGCAAUGGACGAAAAGUCUGACGGAGCAACGCCGCGUGAGUGAUGAAGGUUUUCGGAUCGUAAAACUCUGUUGUUAGGGAAGAACAAGUGCCGUUCGAAAGGGCGGCACCUUGACGGUACCUAACGAGAAAGCCACGGCUAACUACGUGCCAGCAGCCGCGGUAA